CACGUAGGGGGCGCUGCUUUGCCUCCUGCACUCCCUGGGCUCUCCAAAGUGAUUUUAAGAAGCAGGCACUUGAGAGCCCAGAAGCUUCUCUUCAUCCACCGCUUGGCUUAAUUGAGGUGGUGGUGGGAGGCCACAAAGGCUGCCCAGCCCCUCGGAACCACUGUCAUGUCUUUGGUUCAACCUUCCUUCAUCCACGUUGCUCUAGCCAAGAGUCUUUGGUAGCAACAAACAGAGACCCACGCAAGCUUUCUUCCACUAAAACCAGGCAGGCCAGGCAGCAAACUUCAGAUUCCAGAAGGCUUCAGGAAUGGAAACUUCUCUCUUCUUUGGAGGCCUGUGUCGCUCCACAGCCCUGCCUCUGUCUAUUGCUGUCUUACUCUCCAUUGUCUCUCAAGCUGUCUCAGGAUCCUUAGGGUGUUACUUUUGCAGUUGGAAACCUCUGUGGCUGGUGGUGCCUUUGCCCGAGUUUUUGCUCAGGCCCACUUGGCUCAUUCUGCCCACUUGGCCUGGCAGGCUGCACUCAGCUCGUGCUACUGGCCCGGAUCUCACACCUGACAAGGGUAAGCCAGUAGCAAAGUGGAGUGAGUGUGGGGUCCAGCCACUGUGCACAGCCAGGUGAACUGGCUGCUGCUAUGGGACAGGCAGCUCCAGGCACUGGCACAGGCACCAACUCCAUGCAAGGCUGCAGCUGGAUAAGAUGUACUGCAGGCAGCUUCCUCUGUGGUUACCUAUGUCUGGACAAGGGGAGCAUGGUGGUGCCUGGAAGCUUGGCAAUGCCAGGAACCACAGAGCUCCAAAGAAGGUGUCACAGCCCUGGCUCAGGGAGCCCCUAUGUCUGGGCUUCCUGAAAGGCCACAGCUCUUCUCUCCUUCUUCUUGCCCACAACACGGUAACAGCACACAUCCCCAGCACCAGAGAGAGCAGAACAGACCUCAUUCUCAAAGAACUGUCAUUAUUUGACCUGUCUUCCCUGGAAGACCAGCUCAAAACACUUUAUUUUUUUUCGACCCAGAACUUUCCCAGUGUUGAAGACUUACCCAGGGAGUGUUUGUGGAAAACACUUAUAGCCAAAGGCUUUAGUUGUUGCUGCCUGAGGCAAUAGAUAACAGUUGAGAAAAACAAUAAUUGAUAUCUUCCUUUAAUUGGAAAUGGUGUUCAAAACCAGUA